rnacentral:rRNA from 1 species
CCUACGGGAGGCAGCAGUGGGGAAUAUUGGGCAAUGGGCGCAAGCCUGACCCAGCAACGCCGCGUGAAGGAAGAAGGCUUUCGGGUUGUAAACUUCUUUUGUCAGGGACGAAACAAGUGACGGUACCUGACGAAUAAGCCACGGCUAACUACGUGCCAGCAGCCGCGGUAAUACGGAGGGGGCAAUCGUUAUCCGGAUUUAUUGGGUGUAAAGGGCGUGUAGGCGGGAAUGCAAGUCAGAUGUGAAAGUUAGGGGCUCAACCCAUAGCCUGCAUUUGAAACUGUAUGUCUUGAGUGCUGGAGAGGCAAGCGGAAUUCCGUGUGUAGCGGUGAAAUGCGUAGAUAUACGGAGGAACACCAAUGGCGAAGGCGGAUUGCUGGACAGUAACUGACGCUGAGGCGCGAAAGCGUGGGGAGCAAACAGGAUUAGAUACCCUUGUAGUC